GGUAAAAACUCCGGUGGUAUAAGAUGGACCCGCGUUGGAUUAGCUAGUUGGCAGGGCAGCGGCCUACCAAGGCGACGAUCCAUAGCCGGCCUGAGAGGGUGAACGGCCACAUUGGGACUGAGACACGGCCCAGACUCCUACGGGAGGCAGCAGUGGGGAAUAUUGCACAAUGGGGGAAACCCUGAUGCAGCGACGCCGCGUGAAGGAAGAAGUAUCUCGGUAUGUAAACUUCUAUCAGCAGGGAAGAUAAUGACGGUACCUGACUAAGAAGCCCCGGCUAACUACGUGCCAGCAGCCGCGGUAAUACGUAGGGGGCAAGCGUUAUCCGGAUUUACUGGGUGUAAAGGGAGCGUAGACGGCGCAGCAAGUCUGAUGUGAAAGGCAGGGGCUUAACCCCUGGACUGCAUUGGAAACUGCUGUGCUUGAGUGCCGGAGGGGUAAGCGGAAUUCCUAGUGUAGCGGUGAAAUGCGUAGAUAUUAGGAGGAACACCAGUGGCGAAGGCGGCUUACUGGACGGUAACUGACGUUGAGGCU
rnacentral:rRNA from 1 species